CGAACGGAUCUUCGGAUUAGUGGCGGACGGGUGAGUAACGCGUGAGAAUCUACUCUUAGAUGGGGACAACAGUUGGAAACGACUGCUAAUACCGAAUGUGCCGAAGGUAAAAGAUUUAUGUCUGAGAAUGAGCUCGCGUUGGAUUAGCUAGUUGGAGGGUAAGGCCACCAAGGCGACGAUCCAUAACUGGUCUGAGAGGAUGACCAGUCACACUGGGACUGAGACACGGCCCAGACUCCUACGGGAGGCAGCAGUGGGGAAUUUUCCGCAAUGGGCGAAAGCCUGACGGAGCAAACCGCGUGAGGGAGGAAGGCUCUUGGGUCGUAAACCUCUUUUAUUAGGGAAGUGACGGUACCUAAUGAAUCAGCAUCGGCUAACUCCGUGCCAGCAGCCGCGGUAAUACGGAGGAUGCAAGCGUUAUCCGGAAUCAUUGGGCGUAAAGCGUCCGCAGGUGGCUGAUAAGUCUGUUGUUAAAGUGGGCUUAACCCAUAUCGGCAAUGGAAACUGGGCUAGAGUUGGUAGGGGUCAGGGGAAUUCCCAGUGUAGCGGUGAAAUGCGUAGAUAUUGGGAAGAACACCGGUGGCGAAAGCGCCUGACUGGGCCAAACUGACACUCAUGGACGAAAGCUAGGGGAGCGAAAGGGAUUAGAUACCCCUGUAGUCCUAGCCGUAAACGAUGGACACUAGGUGUUG
rnacentral:rRNA from 1 species